AUUGAACGCUGGCGGCAUGCCUUACACAUGCAAGUCGAACGGCAGCAUGGAGAGCUUGCUCUCUGAUGGCGAGUGGCGAACGGGUGAGUAAUGCAUCGGAACGUACCGUGUAAUGGGGGAUAACGUAGCGAAAGUUACGCUAAUACCGCAUACGACCUGAGGGUGAAAGCAGGGGAUCGCAAGACCUUGCGUUAUACGAGCGGCCGAUGUCAGAUUAGCUAGUUGGUGAGGUAAAGGCUCACCAAGGCGACGAUCUGGAGCGGGUCUGAGAGGAUGAUCCGCCACACUGGGACUGAGACACGGCCCAGACUCCUACGGGAGGCAGCCGUGGGGAAUUUUGGACAAUGGGGGCAACCCUGAUCCAGCCAUGCCGCGUGAGUGAAGAAGGCCUGCGGGUUGUAAAGCUCUUUCGGCCGGGAAGAAAUCGCACAGGCUAAUACUCUGUGUGGAUGACGGUACCGGCAUAAGAAGCACCGGCUAACUACGUGCCAGCAGCCGCCGUAA
rnacentral:rRNA from 1 species